rnacentral:lncRNA from 1 species
GACAAUAGCCAAUUACUUAGAGGUUUCCAAUCACUCUCGCAAAUUGGAUCCAGUUCGCUCAGCCUCGCAAUCGAGCUUUAUCUGAAUUUUUGAAUUAGGCCGGUCCAACUCUCACGGCCCGUCGAGUAAAUCUUCUCUAGGCUCAAUUUUGAUCUUAUCUUUUGGCCCAAUCCAGAACCAGGAAGAAGUUCAGUCCAUUCGUCUUGUGGGACCAUUCGCAUACACACUUGGAGAGAAUCAGGGACUGUUACAUAUGGAGCAGAAAUUUAAUAUCCUCGUCCGAUCGUAUCAGUAUGGCAGAGACAAGUGACCCAAUAGAAACCAUGCCGUUACACGUCAAGGACAAGCAAUGAAAACAGAUAAAAGGAAGG